AUACGUAGGGUGCGAGCGUUGUCCGGAAUUACUGGGCGUAAAGAGCUCGUAGGUGGUUUGUCGCGUCGUCUGUGAAAUUCCGGGGCUUAACUCCGGGCGUGCAGGCGAUACGGGCAUAACUUGAGUACUGUAGGGGAGACUGGAAUUCCUGGUGUAGCGGUGAAAUGCGCAGAUAUCAGGAGGAACACCGGUGGCGAAGGCGGGUCUCUGGGCAGUAACUGACGCUGAGGAGCGAAAGCAUGGGUAGCGAACAGGAUUAGGUACCCUGGUAGUCCAUGCCGUAAACGGUGGGCGCUAGGUGUAGGGGUCUUCCACGACUUCUGUGCCGUAGCUAACGCAUUAAGCGCCCCGCCUGGGGAGUACGGCCGCAAGGCUAAAACUCAAAGGAAUUGACGGGG
rnacentral:rRNA from 1 species